rnacentral:tRNA from 1 species
GCCUGGGUGGCUCAGUCGGUUGAGCGUCCGACUUCAGCUCAGGUCACGAUCUCACAGUUCGUGAGUUCGAGCCCCACAUCAGGCU